UGGGGAAUUUUGGACAAUGGGCGAAAGCCUGAUCCAGCAAUGCCGCGUGUGUGAAGAAGGCCUUCGGGUUGUAAAGCACUUUUGUCCGGAAAGAAAUCCUUGGCUCUAAUACAGUCGGGGGAUGACGGUACCGGAAGAAUAAGCACCGGCUAACUACGUGCCAGCAGCCGCGGUAAUACGUAGGGUGCAAGCGUUAAUCGGAAUUACUGGGCGUAAAGCGUGCGCAGGCGGUUUGCUAAGACCGAUGUGAAAUCCCCGGGCUCAACCUGGGAACUGCAUUGGUGACUGGCAGGCUAGAGUAUGGCAGAGGGGGGUAGAAUUCCACGUGUAGCAGUGAAAUGCGUAGAGAUGUGGAGGAAUACCGAUGGCGAAGGCAGCCCCCUGGGCCAAUACUGACGCUCAUGCACGAAAGCGUGGGGAGCAAAACAGGAUUAGAUACCCUGGUAGUCCACGCCCUAAACGAUGUCAACUAGUUGUUGGGGAUUCAUUUCCUUAGUAACGUAGCUAACGCGUGAAGUUGACCGCCUGGGGAGUACGGUCGCAAGAUUAAAACUCAAAUGAAUUGACGGGGUCAUAGCUGUUUCC
rnacentral:rRNA from 1 species